rnacentral:rRNA from 1 species
UACGUAGGGGGCUAGCGUUGUCCGGAAUCAUUGGGCGUAAAGCGCGUGUAGGCGGUUCGGUAAGUCCGCUGUGAAAGUCGGGGGCUCAACCCUCGAAUGCCGGUGGAUACUGUCGGGCUAGAGUACGGAAGAGGCGAGUGGAAUUCCUGGUGUAGCGGUGGAAUGCGCAGAUAUCAGGAGGAACACCGAUGGCGAAGGCAGCUCGCUGGGACGGUACUGACGCUGAGGCGCGAAAGCGUGGGGAGCGAACAGG